rnacentral:rRNA from 1 species
UACGUAGGGGGCAAGCGUUGUUCGGAAUUACUGGGCGUAAAGGGCGCGUAGGCGGCAUGGCAAGUCAGGAGUGAAAGCCCGGGGCUCAACCCCGGAACGUCUUUUGAAACUGCCAAGCUAGAGUGCGGAAGAGGCAACUGGAAUUCCCAGUGUAGCGGUGAAAUGCGCAGAUAUCAGGAAGAACACCCGUGGCGAAGGCGGCUCUCUGGGACGGUACUGACGCUGAGACACGAAAGCGUGGGGAGCGAACAGG